rnacentral:rRNA from 1 species
AACGAACGCUGGCGGCAGGCCUAACACAUGCAAGUCGAACGCCCCGCAAGGGGAGUGGCAGACGGGUGAGUAACGCGUGGGAACCUUCCCUGUGGUACGGAAUAACUGACCGAAAGGUUAGCUAAUACCGUAUACGUCCGAGAGGAGAAAGAUUUAUCGCCAUAGGAUGGGCCCGCGUCGGAUUAGCUAGUUGGUGAGGUAAUGGCUCACCAAGGCGACGAUCCGUAGCUGGUCUGAGAGGAUGAUCAGCCACACUGGGACUGAGACACGGCCCAGACUCCUACGGGAGGCAGCAGUGGGGAAUAUUGGACAAUGGGCGCAAGCCUGAUCCAGCCAUGCCGCGUGAGUGAUGAAGGUCUUCGGAUUGUAAAACUCUUUCGCCGGGGAAGAUAAUGACGGUACCCGGAGAAGAAGCUCCGGCUAACUUCGUGCCAGCCGCCGCCGUAAUAC